AUUUAAAAAGUUUACAAAUUUGAAAGUGAGACAAUGUCUUUAUCUGGAGUUGACGGAAGAGUGAAACGGUUUUAUUAUCAUUGAAUUCUUAAUAAUAUAAUUAAUAUAUAUUUUUUCUGUUAGUCCACACGCAAAAGUCUGGGUCUCGCUGUAUCGCUCAGGCUGCACUGCAGUGUCUAUUCACAGGAGCGAUCCCACUACUGAUCGACACGGGGGCUUUGACCUGCUCCGUCUCCGACCUGGGCCGGUUCACCCCUCCUUAGACGACCUGGUGGUCCCCCAGGAGCACCAUAUCGAUACCGAACUUAGUGUGGACACCUGAUCAACAUAGUCCACUGCAGCCCAGAACCCCUGAACUCAAGCGAUCCGCCAGCCUCAGUCUCCCAGCAGCUUGGAUUACAGGGGUUCUGGGCUGCAGUGGACUAUGUUGAUCAGGUGUCCACACUAAGUUCGGUAUCGAUAUGGUGCUCCUGGGGGAGCUUGGGACCACCAGGUCUUCUAAGGAGGGGUGAACCGGCCCAGGUCGGAGACGGAGCAGGUCAAAGCCCCCGUGUCGAUCAGUAGUGGGAUCGCACCUGUGAAUAGACACUGCAGUGCAGCCUGAGCGAUACAGCGAGACCCAGACUUUUGCGUGUGGACUAACAGAAAAAAUAUAUAUUAAUUAUAUUAUUAAGAAUUCAAUGAUAAUCAAAUCGUUUUACUCUUACUUGUAAACUCCAGAUUUUGUAGCAUUUUACAAAUUUGUAAACUGUUUUAAACUUUUUAUCUUUUUAGCAAUGAUAUUUGCCGAUAUUUGAACUCGUUUUUAAUUGAAGAGGCGCUACUGUAUUUCAUGACAAAUGACUGGUACUAUAUCUUAAAUGACUGGUAGCCUACUAUAUCGUCUCUCUGUGGAAGUGAUAUUUCUGUUCAUAUUCAGCGUCUUUAUUUCAUGACCAGCUGGAGGUGGACAAAGAUCAAACUAUUCAACCUCAAUGUCAUAGCAUCGUUCAGGACUGACAAGCGUUAGUCCCAAAAUUGCCCUGUCUCAGCCGACUUUGUGCAAAAGCUCCAUCUGAUGGUUGUCGUGAUCCCAGAAGAUCCUCUCAUGGUUCAGAGGUUCCUGUCACUGCCUCUCCAUCUCUCAGCAAAGCAUCUGGAGAGAGAUAGAUUGAUAUAUUAACAAAGAGGCCUACAUUAAAGGAGCCAUAUGUAGGAUUGUGGCCUAAACUGGUACUGCACUCACUAUAAAAAUACUGUAGAGUGGUGUAUCCCCUACCCCCUGACUCGAGGUUGCCAGAUGGAUUCAGCAGAAACGUAGGCUGCUUCAAUGAGCUUCCAAUGCAAGUGACGAACAGAUGUACACAGUAAGUUUUUUUUUCUGUUAAUUGUUUAUGCUUCAUGAGAGAUAUUUUGAUAAGUAGGUAUGUAUUUAAAAAAAUUACUAAUUGUCAUUAGUUAAAUAUAAUCGUAAAGAUUUAUGGUCGUAUGUGACAGUAUAAUCGUAAAGAUGUAUGUUCGUAUCUGACAGACAGAACGGUAACUGUUAGUCUAACUUGUAACGUUAUUUAUCUGUCAUUAAUGUAACUACAAUACAAUACAAUACUACAUCUCCAAUUCAAAUUCUGGUUUUAUUUCUGACUUUGUCACAACGAAAAUCUGAAUUAUAACGAGGUCUUUUUGAUUUAGUAACAUUAGACAUUUUUAUCCGACUGGAGUUAGGGUAGGUUACAGCAAAGCUGGCAACACGGAUCCCGAAACACUACUGACUUUGUGAUUGGUAGAUAGGUGGAGGGAGGCGCGUCAGGCCAAAACACAAAAUGACAACAUCAACAUCAGUUGAGGGCUGCAAGUCCACUUUUUAAAUUACAUUAUCCUGGCCGGACUACUGUUGUCAGUGAUAUAAGUAUUUGAAAUGAACAUGAUUUCUUAAUGUCUAGUGACACAUCAGGGCCAUUUUAUGAUUAACUGAAAUAGAUUUCUUACAUUCAGCUUCUUUAACUAAACUAAACUAGUCUGACAGAGGGAGGGACAGCGGGGAUACUGGAGAUUAAAAGAUGCAUAAUUGAAAAGGUUUUUCUUAGAUUUUUUCAUUAAAACAACAUUUAUUACAUUUUGUCAUAACAU
ensembl:lncRNA